GGUCGAAAGGGGAAAUUCAUUCGCGUUUCGAUUGUCGGCGAUAGGUGAUCUAGUGACGGAUGGCGUUCGCGUCGUCUGCGCAGUUUAUUUAUCGAACCGGCUUCGAACGCGUGCACUUUUCCCCUAGUAGGACGUUGCGAUCCGUUGGGUGUCGGUCUAAGGCUCGAGGUGGAGCCCACGUGGACGUUUCGGCGUUGACUGCGUGGACCCUCGGUGUCCCGGCCGACUCGCUCGACGGUAUAAUGAUGGCGCGGGGCCGCUACACAGUUAGCGUUCGGCUCGUGGCAAGCACGUUCGGCGUUUGACGGCGAUCGGACCUAGUGCCGAUCCUGUCCCCGUGCGACUGUUGGCUGCGAUGUUCUCGAACAGACCUCG
rnacentral:rRNA from 1 species